CCUACGGGAGGCAGCAGUGAGGAAUAUUGGUCAAUGGGCGGGAGCCUGAACCAGCCAAGUCGCGUGAGGGAAGACGGUCCUAUGGAUUGUAAACCUCUUUAGGCGGGGAGCAAUGCCGGGCACGUGUGCCCGGAGGGAUAGUACCCGCAGAAUAAGCAUCGGCUAACUCCGUGCCAGCAGCCGCGGUAAUACGGAGGAUGCGAGCGUUAUCCGGAUUUAUUGGGUUUAAAGGGUGCGUAGGCGGAUUUUUAAGUCAGCGGUAAAAUGUCCGGGCUCAACCCGGGCCGGCCGUUGAAACUGGGGAGCUUGAGUGGGCGAGAAGUAGGCGGAAUGCGUGGUGUAGCGGUGAAAUGCAUAGAGAUCACGCAGAACUCCGAUUGCGAAGGCAGCAUACCGGCGCCCGACUGACGCUGAGGCACGAAAGCGUGGGGAUCGAACAGGAUUAGAUACCCCAGUAGUC
rnacentral:rRNA from 1 species